rnacentral:rRNA from 1 species
GAUGAACGCUAGCGGCAGGCCUAAUACAUGCAAGUCGAACGGUAAAUAUUUUAGCAAUAGAAUAUGAGAGUGACGUACGGGUGCGUAACACGUAUGCAACCUACCCUUUACAGGAGGAUAGCUCGGGGAAACUCGAAUUAAGCCUUCAUAGUAUAAUUGGAUGGCAUCAUUUGAUUAUUAAAACUGAGGUGGUAAAGGAUGGGCAUGCGUCUGAUUAGUUAGUUGGCGGGGUAACGGCCCACCAAGACGAUGAUCAGUAGGGGAACUGAGAGGUUGAUCCCCCACACUGGCACUGAGAUACGGGCCAGACUCCUACGGGAGGCAGCAGUAGGGAAUAUUGGUCAAUGGAUGGAAGUCUGAACCAGCCAUGCCGCGUGCAGGAAGACGGCCUUCUGGGUUGUAAACUGCUUUUGCCAGGGGCUAAAAAGCUCAUGCGUGAGAAAUUGAAAGUACCUGGUGAAUAAGCCACGGCUAACUACGUGC